rnacentral:rRNA from 1 species
GAUGAACGCUGGCGGCGUGCCUAAUACAUGCAAGUCGAGCGAACAGACGAGGAGCUUGCUCCUCUGACGUUAGCGGCGGACGGGUGAGUAACACGUGGAUAACCUACCUAUAAGACUGGGAUAACUUCGGGAAACCGGAGCUAAUACCGGAUAAUAUAUUUAACCGCAUGGUUCAAUAGUGAAAGACGGUUUUGCUGUCACUUAUAGAUGGAUCCGCGCCACAUUAGCUAGUUGGUAAGGUAACGGCUUACCAAGGCAACGAUGCGUAGCCGACCUGAGAGGGUGAUCGGCCACACUGGAACUGAGACACGGUCCAGACUCCUACGGGAGGCAGCAGUAGGGAAUCUUCCGCAAUGGGCGAAAGCUUGACGGAGCAACGCCGCGUGAGUGAUGAAGGUCUUCGGAUCGUAAAACUCUGUUAUUAGGGAAGAACAAAUGUGUAAGUAACUAUGCACGUCUUGACGGUACCUAAUCAGAAAGCCACGGCUAACUACGUG